UAAGAAUGGCUCAAUUGGCCCACAACAUCUGAAGUAGAACAAAAAUAAAAUGAUUAUUUAUUUCAUAAAAUGUCAUUCUAUUAAAGGACUAGCGCUUUAAAUGAUAAGUCAUUACAAACAGAUGACGGAUAAUAAAGAGCAGACCAAGAGAAGGAAAUAAAACCAUUGAAAAAGUGGCCUCUAAGUCUAGGCGAUGUUAUGCACGCAUGAACGUAUAAUGAUUGGUGAAUGGGUGAUUUAUAUGGCUACCCUACUUCUCUUUCUCUGGACAAGCAGAUCUCACGCUGACCCGCCGGCAGCACAUGAAUAAAAAGAACAUCACAUUGGAAAACAUCUGGAAAUCUUACCAAGGAGUCAUUGAGUUUCCUAACAUCACAACUGGUCUCCUGCACGUUCUAUCGUCCAUUCGGCUUGGGGUUCUCUCAUUUUAGUCAUUACUCGCGAACACUUUGUGCUGUUUGUUUCUAUGAUUGUUGGGGUUUUUAUAAACACUUAUAUUUGAACACUAGUGGCGAUUUUUGUGCCAAAAUAUCAGUGUGUUUGUGAAACACGCGGGUAGCUAAAUGACCGGAUUCUCAUGAAUCCCCACGGCCCGUCGCCUACUGAGUCCCGCCGCUUGGUCUGAUUAAACAAUCGUUGCAUAACAAGGAGCAACUCAUCAACUGUUAUGGGCCUGUAUCAUAAAUAACAGCAUUUCACACGAGAUGGAUCUUUAUCUCUUUUUCACCAUUUAUAGGUCACCCAGCAGUGUGUUUAUAGUUAGUUAAGACGUUUGCCCUCGAGAAAAACGGAAACUUAUUCGACUAGUUGAUUAGUUUUGGUAAACGUCACAACGCCCUCAAAAUACAGCCACACGUGAAGACAACAGAGUGUUAAAAAAAACACUCCACAUGUUCUUAGAGGAAAUUUCUUAAUAGAGGUUCCCAAAUGCAGUCUCCCAGCAAAACAUUAGACCUUCGCGAGGUAGAAUCGAUUCAACUGGCUAUAAAUUAGUUGCCUCUUCCUUCCUUGUAAUCGUCUUCUUUUUUCUGCCAACAAUUUACAACAAUCAAUUAAAUAUCAAUUUGUGUGCGCGAGUGCAGGUGGAAACCACGCAGAAGCACAAACACAGCUGAGUCGCGGAGCGGGCGGCAGUACUUAAAAGGCUUGCACAUCUAAGCCUUCGUACAAGAUGAAAGCCAUGCAAGGGAGUAUCACACUCGCUCUGUCCUUCAUGUUUCUAUUGUCUUUGAUCUCUUCGUGCAGUGCUGCAACCCAGGGUGUUACUACUGGUAGUAUGAAUAGCGGCAAGCGACAGGCUUCAGUAAAGUUAUCUUAUCAGGGGAAGAUAGCUAUUUGUGAGAUGGCAAGCAAACUACAAUGUGAAGCAAUGUAUGAAAUGAGACAAGACCGCUGGAGACAGAAAAAGGGCAGAACUUUUCUAGGCUAAGCACUGAUACACGGAUGUUAUUUUUGUCUGCUGCCAAUGACGAAUACCCUUUUACCGAUAGUUGAACCUUAUUUCAGUCCUACAAGCAUCACGUCUCUCAUAUCCAGAAAUAGCAGCGCCUAUUUUCAGCUCAGUAAGCCACGGAACUAGUCCGAAUGUGAUUUCGCUGGAAAUCAUUAUUGAAUACGGACGAAUCAUUCGCUCCACCAACCGCCCUCUAGCUCUUCUUGUAAAACAGCCAUUUAGCAAACGUUGUACGAAGGCAGCACAGUUGAGAUAAACAAAUUAACCGCUGACUUUUUUCGUCUAUUUAUGUAUCUGUACUCAUAAAAUAAAGAAUAAAUUAUCAAAGUGA